rnacentral:rRNA from 1 species
CAAUAGCGUAUAUUAAAGUUGUUGCAGUUAAAAAGCUCGUAGUUGGACCUUGGACCUGGACAGGCGGUCCGCCUCACGGCGUGUACUGUCUUGCUGGGUCUUUCCUCUUGGUGAUCUGUUGUUUCGGCAGCAGGGAACCAGGACUUUUACUUUGAAAAAAUUAGAGUGUUCAAAGCAGGCUCGACGCCGGAAUAUAUUAGCAUGGAAUAAUAAAAUAGGACGUGCGGUUCUAUUUUGUUGGUUUUUGGAAUCGCCGUAAUGGUUAAUAGGGACAGUCGGGGGCAUUAGUACCCACAUGCUAGAGGUGAAAUUCUUGGAUUUUGUGAAGACUAACUUCUGCGAAAGCAUUUGCCAAGGAUGUUUUCAUUAA